CAGGCUUAACACAUGCAAGUCGAGGGGCAGCAUGGUCUUAGCUUGCUAAGGCCGAUGGCGACCGGCGCACGGGUGAGUAACACGUAUCCAACCUGCCGUCUACUCUUGGACAGCCUUUUGAAAGGAAGAUUAAUACAAGAUGGCAUCAUGAGUCCGCAUGUUCACAUGAUUAAAGGUAUUCCGGUAGACGAUGGGGAUGCGUUCCAUUAGAUAGUAGGCGGGAUAACGGCCCACCUAGUCUUCGAUGGAUAGGGGUUCUGAGAGGAAGGUCCCCCACAUUGGAACUGAGACACGGUCCAAACUCCUACGGGAGGCAGCAGUGAGGAAUAUUGGUCAAUGGGCGAGAGCCUGAACCAGCCAAGUAGCGUGAAGGAUGACUGCCCUAUGGGUUGUAAACUUCUUUUAUAAAGGAAUAAAGUCGGGUAUGGAUACCCGUUUGCAUGUACUUUAUGAAUAAGGAUCGGCUAACUCCGUGCCAGCAGCCGCGGUAAUACGGAGGAUCCGAGCGUUAUCCGGAUUUAUUGGGUUUAAAGGGAGCGUAGAUGGAUGUUUAAGUCAGUUGUGAAAGUUUGCGGCUCAACCGUAAAAUUGCAGUUGAUACUGGAUAUCUUGAGUGCAGUUGAGGCAGGCGGAAUUCGUGGUGUAGCGGUGAAAUGCUUAGAUAUCACGAAGAACUCCGAUUGCGAAGGCAGCCUGCUAAGCUGCAACUGACAUUGAGGCUCGAAAGUGUGGGUAUCAAACAGGAUUAGAUACCCUGGUAGUCCACACGGUAAACGAUGAAUACUCGCUGUUUGCGAUAUACUGCAAGCGGCCAAGCGAAAGCGUUAAGUAUUCCACCUGGGGAGUACGCCGGCAACGGUGAAACUCAAAGGAAUUGACGGGGGCCCGCACAUGCGGAGGAACAUGUGGUUUAAUUCGAUGAUACGCGAGGAACCUUACCCGGGCUUAAAUUGCAGAUGAAUUACGGUGAAAGCCGUAAGCCGCAAGGCAUCUGUGAAGGUGCUGCAUGGUUGUCGUCAGCUCGUGCCGUGAGGUGUCGGCUUAAGUGCCAUAACGAGCGCAACCCUUGUUGUCAGUUACUAACAGGUUCCGCUGAGGACUCUGACAAGACUGCCAUCGUAAGAUGUGAGGAAGGUGGGGAUGACGUCAAAUCAGCACGGCCCUUACGUCCGGGGCUACACACGUGUUACAAUGGGGGGUACAGAGGGCCGCUACCACGCGAGUGGAUGCCAAUCCCCAAAACCUCUCUCAGUUCGGACUGGAGUCUGCAACCCGACUCCACGAAGCUGGAUUCGCUAGUAAUCGCGCAUCAGCCACGGCGCGGUGAAUACGUUCCCGGGCCUUGUACACACCGCCCGUCAAGCCAUGGGAGCCGGGGGUACCUGAAGUGCGUAACCGCGAGGAGCGCCCUAGGGUAAAACUGGUGACUGGGGC
rnacentral:rRNA from 1 species